rnacentral:rRNA from 1 species
AUACGAAAGGUGCAAGCGUUGUUCGGAUUUACAGGGCGUAAAGAGAGUGUAGGUGGUUUAUUAAGUCGGAUGUGAAAUCCCGGGGCUCAACCUCGGAACUGCAUUCGAUACUGAUAGGCUAGAGUUUGGGAGGGGUAAGCGGAAUUCCGUGUGUAGCAGUGAAAUGCGUAGAUAUACGGAGGAACACCUGAGGCGAAGGCGGCUUACUGGACCAAUACUGACACUGAGACUCGAAAGCGUGGGGAGCAAACAGGAUUAGAAACCCUAGUAGUCC